rnacentral:lncRNA from 1 species
ACCAGCCAAGACUAGCCCACCAAUGACCAAUUUCCUCUUAUUUUUUAAAGUCUCCCAUGCAGCGUAAGUUGCUGAUUCCAAAGUGGAGGAAACUGCACUGUGUAAUUUCCCUGCAGAGCUAACCUCGUGGAUGAAAAGAGGCUGAAGAUGUCUGCAGGGGAUCCAGGCGAUUUCUAUUAUAGUGCAUCAUUUCCCACUGGCUUUGACCUGCUCUGUGUGAAUUUUAUUCCAACGCUGUCCAUGUUGGGAUGCUAGAGGCAGUGACACCAUCACAGAAGAAACAAUCACUCUGCUGGAGGAACUUCAGUCCUGUCUGAUUAUAAACAAUUGUGAUGGCCUUCAAAGAAGUAGUGUAAACAGAAAGUGUUUUACAAGUAGAGGAGAAGCAAAGUUACUCAGAAAAAAGGCAUGCUGGAGAGGGCUUCCUGAGUGAGAGAACCCAACUGUGUUAUCCUGAGGCUGGAUGAGGGGGAAUCAGACUGGACAUUUGUGCAAGCAGAUGUGGAAAUGUCCAUACCCACUCAGGCAAUCAUUCAGCUGGAGUUAAAACAUUCUUGUAGAAAGACACCUAGAGAGAGACAGAGAGACUGAUUCAAGGUCAGAAUGUGGGAUGCUGUGAAUACUAAGUUAAAGGUAAAAUAUUGAAAAAUGAAAUAGAAAACAUGAGGCUCAUUUAUGAAAUGAAAUGAUAUCAAUUAUCAAAAGUUUCAUUCACAGACAUUCGAAAGAUUUUACUGUAUAAAUGUACACAAAAACUGAUAGAGUACUAAUUUUCAUUCAAGCUUAAUUUCUUGAUUUUAUUAAUCAUUUAUAUCUCAAAAGCUUUACUAAGAAGGCUCUGUAUUCUUAGUUUAUUUUUGUAUGUGUGCAUAAAAAAAUUCAUAGAUGACUUUCAAGUUCUUUGUUUUU